GCGGUUCUGUCUGGGAAGGAGAGAAAAUGGCGGCGGAGCCGAACAAGACCGAAAUCCAGACUCUUUUUAAGAGGCUUCGCGCAGUUCCAACCAACAAGGCCUGUUUCGACUGCGGCGCCAAGAAUCCGAGUUGGGCCAGCAUCACGUACGGUGUUUUCUUGUGCAUUGACUGUUCCGGGGUGCACCGCUCCCUGGGCGUCCAUCUGAGCUUCAUCAGGUAGGCUCUCCGCGCGGUUGCCGUGUUUCCACCCGGCCGGCCAGGGCUGUCUGGGCAACAAGGGAGAGUGGCUGCCUCGACUUGGGCCGCUCUGAAUUCGGUGGGAAGCCUCUGGGCCGAGAGGGUCCGGUAGCCUCCUGCCAGAGAGAACCACCUGUGUGGGCCCUUUGGCACAUGGGCGGUCCGUCUCCGCCUCUGGGCCAAAACUUCCUCUUUUUUGACGGUCAGGCUUGAGACUCUGAGCGUUAGUUGGGGGGAAAGGGAGGCAUUGACCUUGUUGUUGCUGAUAUGUUGUUAGCCCA
rnacentral:sRNA from 1 species